AGAAGAGCACAUGGAUACAUUUGUGAGAGAAAAACUCGUCGAAUGCAGUCUUAUCGAGACGUCUAAUGGUUGGAACAAACGUGGAAUUCCUUAUCCGAGCAGAGUCCACAAAACCCCAUCCAUUUGUCAUGACAAUUUGAAAAUGCCAGCAGAUCUGUCAGACAUUGAUCAUAAUCAAUGGACAGUCACCCGGAUCCAGUCUGUAUCCAGAUCAGAUGGUGGAUCAGCACCUAGAGAUGACCUCUACAGCCCUGAAAGACAGCGGAGACCAGGACAACUAGAUGAGCCCCAGAGACAGAUCCCCUGUAAAGACCUUGUCUCCUAGACGGACAUCGGCAUUAGACAUCGGGAACCAGAUGUGUCCACUGCACAAUCUGACUCUGCUGCAGCCUGGAAUUGAACCGCU
ensembl:lncRNA